UACGGAGGGUGCAAACGUUGCUCGGAAUCAUUGGGCGUAAAGCGCACGUAGGCGGCUCAUACAGUCAGGCGUGAAAUUCCUGGGCUCAACCUGGGGACUGCGCUUGAGACGUGUGGGCUUGAGUGGGGAAGAGGGUCGUGGAAUUCCCAGUGUAGAGGUGAAAUUCGUAGAUAUUGGGAAGAACACCGGUGGCGAAGGCGGCGACCUGGUCCUUGACUGACGCUGAGGCGCGAAAGCGUGGGGAGCAAACAGG
rnacentral:rRNA from 1 species